GCUCGCUUAGCAUGCGAGAGGUACGGGGAUCGAUACCCCGCAUCUCCAUUACGGAUUUUGUACAUUAUUAUAACUGAGUGCUUCAUUUUUUCAGACCUGUAGAUUUGCUUUUCUAACCCUCGCCCAUUGUCGUUUUAUGGUAAUGUGUUGGUGUUUCUCUAAAUGGUAAUUCUAUUAAGAACGGCUAAACCCAUAUUGACGACAAAAAAGAAAAAAAAAGUGAGAUAAAUAUGAUGAGGAAGGUGAAAGUCGUAGUAAGAUCUGCCAAAUCAGAAUUUAUAAUAUUUAAAAUGGAAGACAGAGCUAUGCAUAUGGUUUGCAGUUGAUUCAACUAAGCUUGUUAUCUGAAGCCAUUUGCUUAGAAACAUCAAUGAUGAUGAUUAGAGCAGGAAAAAUCAUCCUGCAUUUUGUGCACGAGCACGUGGUGGUUGUUGUUGUUGUUGAUGGCUAUGAAUUUGGACUCGCCAAGCUUGGUCCUUGUGGAGACAAGAUGUAUCCAUCAUCAAGAGUGAUCUCUAUCAGUAGAAAAAAAUUGGCAAAAUUAAUGAUACACGCAACCUGUUUGAUAAAAUGCCUCGUGGAAAUUUAGUUUCAUCAAGAGUGAUAUCUAUGCACGCAAGAAAUUGACAAAAUUAAUGAUGCACGCAACCUAUUUGUUGAAAUACCUCGUAGAAAUUUAGUUUCUUGAAACAAUAUGAUAUUUGUUGUUGGUUAUAAUGGGUAAGGUUGCUUAUAAACUGGUUGUUGUUGGUUAUAAUGCCUCACAAGGACUUAUUUUCAUUUUA